GACGAACGCUGGCGGCGUGCUUAACACAUGCAAGUCGAACGGAAAGGCCCUGCUUGCAGGGCACUCGAGUGGCGAACGGGUGAGUAACACGUGGGUGAUCUGCCCUGCACUUCGGGAUAAGCCUGGGAAACUGGGUCUAAUACCGGAUAGGAGCCAUUUUUAGUGUGAUGGUUGGAAAGUUUUUUCGGUGUAGGAUGAGCUCGCGGCCUAUCAGCUUGUUGGUGGGUAAUGGCCUACCAAGGCGGCGACGGGUAGCCGGCCUGAGAGGGUGGACGGCCACAUUGGGACUGAGAUGCGGCCCAGACUCCUACGGGAGGCAGCAGUGGGGAAUAUUGCACAAUGGGCGCAAGCCUGAUGCAGCGACGCCGCGUGGGGGAUGACGGCCUUCGGGUUGUAAACUCCUUUCGCUAGGGACGAAGCUUUUUGUGACGGUACCUAGAGAAGAAGCACCGGCUAACUACGUG
rnacentral:rRNA from 1 species